rnacentral:rRNA from 1 species
UACGUAGGGUGCAAGCGUUAAUCGGAAUUACUGGGCGUAAAGCGUGCGCAGGCGGUUUUGUAAGUCUGUCGUGAAAUCCCCGGGCUCAACCUGGGAAUUGCGAUGGAGACUGCAAGGCUAGAAUCUGGCAGAGGGGGGUAGAAUUCCACGUGUAGCAGUGAAAUGCGGUAGAGAUGUGGAGGAACACCGAUGGCGAAGGCAGCCCCCUGGGUCAAGAUUGACGCUCAUGCACCGAAAGCG